UACGUAGGUGGCAAGCGUUGUUCGGAAUUAUUGGGCGUAAAGGGCGCGUAGGCGGUUUGUUAAGUCGGUCGUGAAAGCCCGGGGCUCAACCCCGGAGGGUCGACCGAUACUGGCAGACUAGAGUACAGAAGAGGUAGCUGGAAUUCCCGGUGUAGCGGUGAAAUGCGUAGAUAUCGGGAGGAACAUCAGUGGCGAAGGCGGCUGCCUGGCCCAAUACUGACACUCAGGUGCGACAGCGUGGGGAGCAAACAGG
rnacentral:rRNA from 1 species